ACAGCCCGAUAGGAGAAGGGUUUUUCUUUAGGGACGGUGCGGGAUGCGAAGUCUAGAUUCAGGAAGUCCCCGGAUCCCAGCCAGAGGGAAAAGCCAGGGCUUUGCAGCGGGGCGUGGCUCCGGCUGGGGGAAGGGUUCUGGCCUAGGCCGGCUUGGGGACUCUUUGCCUGCGCUCGGCGGAAGGAGCGACGACGGCGGUACUGCGAUUACUUCCAGCAGUUUCCAGACCCGCCUUAGCGGCCCCGCCCCGGCCCCGCCCCUUUCCUCCAGGCCCCGCCUUUCCCUUUGCGGCCGGGAAGUCUGUGCAGUUGCUGCGUUACCCGUACGGCUCUGCCGGGGUCCCGGGAGGGGAGGAGCUGCCAGACCAGAAGUGAGGAGGGUCUCCAGGGACCCCUGCAGAGUGGCAGGGAUUCUUGGAGGUCGUUUGAAGACACUGGCCAGAGGGCAAUCCGAUGCAGGCUGCCAAAAGUCGUUCCUCGUCAACUGUGGUGGAGGUCCCAAGCCCCCAGACCUUUAGUCUGCCAAAGGAGCUGUGGGUCUCCAUACCUCGCUUGGCUCUGACCCUUUUGCAUACCCUCCUGAGGGGAGGCUGUCCUUGUCUAUCCAAGGCAUCAUCUAGGAACCCUGUGGGACCUACAGCCCCUCCAGAAGAAAAUGGCCACUUCCUGCUCUGUGACCUUCCUGGCCCACAGUGCCCUCCACUGGAAUGCUGGAGAGGGGUUCCCUCCCACCACCACCACCCCUAGUCCUUCUUCAACAGCCCUGGUGCCCCGUCUUCCUUCCUUUGUAUGUUCUUUAUUUAUGUGUUAAAUUACACAGAAUAAAGGACCCUCACUUUCGUUA